CAUAUUAUCGCUGUCCUGAACAGCUGAUUUUGGUUCUGAUUUUUUAGAUUUUUACUUUUUAGCUACAUAGUACGUAUCACAACCGGUGUAUUACUAAUUAUUUCAGCAAAAUGAAAACAUCGCUAAAAGUGGCCACAGUUAUUAUGUAAUUUAUGCUGAUUUUAAUUGUAAGAUUCUCUUUACUUCUGUUUUCCUGCUUGUUAUUAAGUAAGAGUUUCUCGCCGGCCCCGUGUGACCGCCCACCAGAGCUGCAACCGCGGAAACGCAGUUCUCCAGGCGCAGGCCGACUUUUUAUUUUUAGAUUCCUCUUACAAGUUAGUCGGUUUGUGACACACCCACGAGGGAAGCUUGUAAUCGUUCUGAACGUGCUACACUGUAGGAGCAAUCCUGGGAAGCAUGAAUCAUGGAAAAAACUUAGGCAGCUGCGUCAAGUUUGUACAUGCGAUGCAGCGGAAAGUGAUGCCCAGAGCCGAGGAAAACCGCACGGUGGUUACCGUCGGAAACUUCCAAACUAACACGGAUCGGCGAGAUAUAUAAAGCUGAGCUUAUGCAGAAGAUUUUCACAAGUUUCUCGAGCCCUGAAACAGUCCUAAAUUGAACGAUUGCACGCUCUGACUAGUGAACGCUUAAAACUUAGAAGCGUUGAAGGAGUCAUUUUGAUUAAAUUCCGUUGACCAUAAAAGUACCGCGUUUUCAAAAUGGACAAGAAGGGAGUUGAACAAGGAGUGGAAGGCCCUGUAACCAACCAGAAGGCGAAUCUCGGCCACAACAAUCCUGCUGGUGACCUUAAGGACAACAGUGGCGGUGGCCUGGAAGCCCACCAAAGGCAGGACGGCAAGACGGGCGAAGACAAAAAACUCGAUGAGAAGAAGUAAUCCAGACCAAACUGCGUGAUGAAUGUUUGUGAAACAUCUUAAUUGAUUCUGCUGAUUUACAUUCUGUAUUACGGUGACUUUUAACAGUAACACAGUCUGAUCAUGAUGCAUCGCCCGGCAGCAUUAAGUCGACUUAAGCUUAUAUAUGCUGUUAUUACCUAACUGUAAAUAUUUUGUUUCUAAUAUUCGCUGUUUUAUAUUAUGCCGUACGUACGACUCUGGGUUUCAAGACCCAAUGAGCACCAGAACAAAAACAACGCAAUAAAUGAAAGUACAGAA